AUGGAUAAAGCUAAAAAGGUUGACUGUACCAAGACUUGUCAAGGAUGUUUCAUCAGGACUCAGAAAGUCACUCAAGCUCAGACUACAGUACCAGGACAGGAAGGAGAAUCUGUGACAAUGAACUGCGAGUAUGAAACCACAUGGAGUGAUUAUUAUUUGUAUUGGUACAAACAGCCUCCCAGUGGAGAGAUGGUUUUCCUUAUUUAUCAGUACCCUUCUCACCAAAAUGCAAUUAAGGGCCGUUACUCUGUGAAUUUUCAAAAGGCAAACAAAUUCAUCAGCCUCACCAUCUCUUCCUUACGACUGGCUGACUCAGCCACGUACUUCUGUGCUCUCCGAGAACCCACACUAAUACAAGUGACAGCAGGACUCACAGUAAUAGAAGUGAUGGUGGAAGCUUAG